CGAAGUUGGCCCCCGAAGCUCUUCCGUCUCCCCCCCGGGCCUCC
rnacentral:rRNA from 1 species